GAUGAACGCUGGCGGCGUGCCUAACACAUGCAAGUCGAGCGAUCUUCUUCGGAAGAGAGCGGCGGACGGGUGAGUAACGCGUGGGUAACCUGCCCUGUACACACGGAUAACAUACCGAAAGGUAUGCUAAUACGAGAUAAUAUGCUUUUGUCGCAUGGUAGAAGUAUCAAAGCUUUUGCGGUACAGGAUGGACCCGCGUCUGAUUAGCUAGUUGGUAAGGUAACGGCUUACCAAGGCUACGAUCAGUAGCCGACCUGAGAGGGUGAUCGGCCACAUUGGAACUGAGACACGGUCCAAACUCCUACGGGAGGUAGCAGUGGGGAAUAUUGCACAAUGGGCGAAAGCCUGAUGCAGCAACGCCGCGUGAGCGAUGAAGGCCUUCGGGUCGUAAAGCUCUGUCCUCAAGGAAGAUAAUGACGGUACUUGAGGAGGAAGCCCCGGCUAACUACGUGCCAGCCGCCGCGGUAA
rnacentral:rRNA from 1 species